rnacentral:rRNA from 1 species
AGUGAACGCUGGCGGUAGGCCUAACACAUGCAAGUCGAACGGCAGCACAGUAAGAGCUUGCUCUUACGGGUGGCGAGUGGCGGACGGGUGAGGAAUACAUCGGAAUCUACUUUUUCGUGGGGGAUAACGUAGGUAAACUUACGCUAAUACCGCAUACGACCUACGGGUGAAAGCAGGGGAUCUUCGGACCUUGCGCGAUUGAAUGAGCCGAUGUCGGAUUAGCUAGUUGGCGGGGUAAAGGCCCACCAAGGCGACGAUCCGUAGCUGGUCUGAGAGGAUGAUCAGCCACACUGGAACUGAGACACGGUCCAGACUCCUACGGGAGGCAGCAGUGGGGAAUAUUGGACAAAGGGCGCAAGCCUGAUCCAGCCAUACCGCGUGGGUGAAGAAGGCCUUCGGGUUGUAAAGCCCUUUUGUUGGGAAAGAAAAGCAGUAGGUUAAUACCCCGCUGUUCUGACGGUACCCAAGGAAUAAGCACCGGCUAACUUCGUG